UCCAUAUGGGAUCAGGGGGACCAGGACCCUCCAUAUGGGAUUGGGGGGGACCAGGAGUGUCCAUAUGGGAUUGGGGGGACCAGGACCCUCCAUACGGGAUCGGGGGUGUCCCUGUGGGUCCAGGACCCUCUCUGUGAGAUCACAAGUUCUGUAGGGGACCAGGACCCUUCAUAUGGGAUCAGGGGGGACCAGGAGUGUCCAUAUGGGAUUGGGGGUGUCCAUACAGAGCUGGGACCACCCCCUUUGGGGCCAGGACCCCCCAUAUGGGACCAAGACACUCCAUAUAGGACCAAGACACUCCAUAUGGGACCAAGACACAUAUGGGAGCGGAGCUUCCAUAGGGGACCGAGAGGAUCCAGACAGAGCCGGGACCAUCCCUGU